GAUGAACGCUGGCGGCGUGCCUAAUACAUGCAAGUCGAGCGAACAGACGAGGAUCUUGCUCCUCUGACGUUAGCGGCGGACGGGUGAGUAACACGUGGAUAACCUACCUAUAAGACUGGGAUAACUUCGGGAAACCGGAGCUAAUACCGGUUAAUAUGUUGAACCGCAUGGUUCAUUAGUGAAAGACGGUUUUGCUGUCCCUUAUAGAUGGAUCCGCGCCGCAUUAGCUAGUUGGUAAGGUAACGGCUUACCAAGGCAACGAUGCGUAGCCGACCUGAGAGGGUGAUCGGCCACACUGGAACUGAGACACGGUCCAGACUCCUACGGGAGGCAGCAGUAGGGAAUCUUCCGCAAUGGGCGAAAGCUUGACGGAGCAACGCCGCGUGAGUGAUGAAGGUCUUCGGAUCGUAAAACUCUGUUAUUAGGGAAGAACAAAUGUGUAAGUAACUAUGCACGUCUUGACGGUACCUAAUCAGAAAGCCACGGCUAACUACGUG
rnacentral:rRNA from 1 species